CCUUUACUUCAUUAAAUGAUUUCCUUUUUCUGAUAACGGAUAUAUUUUCUGAUAACGGUUAUAUCUGUAACUAAAUAAAUUUCCUUUUUCUUGAUAACGGAUAUAUUUCCUUUUUUCUGAAUUUCCUUUUUCCUGGCAAGAGCCUCUCUGUUUAUAAAUACUCAACAUCUCUUCAUCGAGAAAUCAAAAUCUUAUCACAGACCAAAAUAAAAAGAGAGAGUGUUCUAAUGGCGACGAGAGCAAAAACAUACAUGAACAAGUCUGUGGUAUCAUCUUUUCUAAAGCUAUGAUCGAUUUGAUUUUUACUGAUGGCCGUGGCGGUGGUGGUGAGGCAGCAGCGUCUUCAAGUCACCGGAGAGAACAAGUCUCAAUCGUCGGGGAUUAGGUCACAGCCGCAGAGUCACACCGACAGUGAGCAAAGCCAAUCAUCAACCGUUCGACUAGUCACAAUCACUUAACAAUUUCUUGAUCUGUUAUUCCAAGUUAUCCUAGAAUUGUGGACAACACUAUCAGUCUAUCACCAACACAUAUGCGCUGCUAAGCAUACCGUCCCAUCCGACGAGUCCGUAAGAGGUGUUGAUAGUCCAACCGCUUUUCACGCAAGUAAAUUAACACUUAGCAAUUGAAAACAAAUCGGACUAAGCAUCCCGUCACAUCCGACGGGUCCGUAAAAAAUAUUAUUAGUCCAACCGCUUUUCACGCAAGUAAAUUACACUUACACUAAUAAUUAUGGUUUUUUUGCAAAUAUUGUUAUUAUGUAAACUAAAUUUUAAAACUAUUUGUUUGACUAUACAAAUAUUUUUGUUUUAAACAACUAAGUGUUAAAUUUCAAUGCAAUGAAAACUUUGAAGAGGAUAUUUUAACCUUAGUUUUAAAACUUUGAGAACCAGCUUUUGUUCUGG